AAGUCGUAACAAGGUUUCCGUAGGUGAACCUGCGGAAGGAUCAUUAUUGAAUAAUCUUGAUGGAUUGUUGCUGGCUCUUCAAAGGAGCAAGUGCACAUCUGUCAUUUUUAUCUUUCCACCAUGUGCACUAUGCAUAGACUUGACAUUUCUGUGAUCAAACUUUGUUUUUGAUUUUUUGGAGAUUGCUGUUUGUGAUAACAGCUUUUUCUGUGUUCAAGUUCUAUGAAUUUAUAUACACGCCUAUGCAUGUCAAAGAAUGUUAUAAAGGGUUUUUAAAAUCCUAUAAAGUUAAAUACAACUUUCAGCAACGGAUCUCUUGGCUCUC
rnacentral:misc_RNA from 1 species